GGAGUUUACUAUCUCUUAACUUGUCAUCUCUGGUUCUGUUGGAAUUUAUUGAAUUAAUGAAAAAAAAUAAUCCUGAUUUUCCUCUCAGUUCCAUAUUUCAAAAUACACUGUUAACUUAGUUCGAUGGUUCUGUUUCUAUGUGUCUUUUUGCUUCUAAAUUUUUCAGGUGGAUGUUUUUCAAGUGGAAGCGGUAGAUGUUGGGACUCUGCAAAGGAUGGUGGUUGAGAAAGGGAAAGGCUCUGACUGGCUUCUGGAGAAGAUUAUUGUGAAAGAGUCAGCAGCUUCACAGACAGAAACAUUAUUUAUGGCUCAAACAUGGCUAAAAGACAGACGCGAUGGAAAAAGAACUGCCGCAGUAACUCUGAAUGCCACAGAAAUUCAGGAGAGGAGGAGCACUUCUGCCUGGCCUUUAGGAAAAGAGCAAAUGAAUUCAGAAGGCAGAUGGAGGAUUUAUUUCACAAAACAUCAAGAAGAAACAAAAACAGACUUUGAAAAGUUGUCAGAAAAUAUAUCCAAGUUGGUUAUGGUUUUUUAUGGAAGCAACGGCAAGUCAAAUCCAGUUUCCAUGGAAAACAAAGUGGAACAUCAGGCUAAGAACCAAAUAACAUAUGAUAUACAUUUACCAUCCGAUUUGGGAGUGCUUUAUAAAGUGAGACUUGGUCCCCAGAGUUUGGAAAACAGCAUAUCCCAGUUGUCUCCUCGUCACUUUAAAAUGCAGAACACAUCAACCCUGGAUACCUUUAGUCUUACCAUAAAUAAAACACUUCCUCUUUCUCUUAAUGGAGACAGAUGGAUUGAAUUCCCCAUAGAGUGGCCAUUAAAAGAAGCACUUUCUGUGGUUACAUAUCAUCUAAGAGUAUUUUCUAGAAAUAUUUUGAGUGAGAGAAAUUUAGUGCAUAUGACUGCAUGUGUACAUGGUACUCAUGGUGACACAGGGGACAGAUCCCUUCUCUGGUCAUUGCAGAAUGUCCAGCAGGGAGACAACAACGAGGUAUUCUGUCUUUAAAAUUUAUCCUUUAAUCCAUUCUUGUACUUCCUACAUACUAUUUUCAAAUCUUCCUAGACACUUAAGUAAUAUAG
rnacentral:lncRNA from 1 species